rnacentral:rRNA from 1 species
GACGAACGCUGGCGGCGUGCUUUAGACAUGCAAGUCGAACGAGAUCUUCGGAUCUAGUGGCGAACGGCGGAGUAAUACAUAAACAACGUGCCCUGAAGACUGGGAUAUACGGUCGAAAGGCCGAGCAAUACCGGAUGUGGCCGAGACUAGGCAUCUAGACUCGAUUAAAUGGUUUUCGCUUCAGGAGCGGUUUAUGACUCAUCAGCUAGUUGGUAGGUAAUGGCCUACCAAGGCUACGACGGGUAGGGGUCUGAGAGGAUGAUCCCCCCGAGUGGGACUGAGACACGGCCCACACACCUACGGGUGGCAGCAGUUUGGAAUCUUGCCCAAUGGGGGAAACCCUGAGGCAGCGACGCCGCGUGGAGGAUGAAGGAUUUAGGUCUGUAAACUCCUUUUGCCAGGAAAGACUUAGGACGGUACCUGGCGAAUAAGCUCCGGCUAACUACGUGCCAGCAGCCGCGGU